CCUACGGGAGGCAGCAGUAGGGAAUAUUGCUCAAUGGGGGAAACCCUGAAGCAGCAACGCCGCGUGGAGGAUGAAGGUUUUCGGAUUGUAAAAUCCUUUUGUUAGAGAAGAUAAUGACGGUAUCUAACGAAUAAGCACCGGCUAACUCCGUGCCAGCAGCCGCGGUAAUACGGAGGGUGCAAGCGUUACUCGGAAUCACUGGGCGUAAAGAGCGCGUAGGCGGGAUAGCAAGUCAGAUGUGAAAUCCUAUGGCUUAACCAUAGAACUGCAUUUGAAACUGUUAUUCUAGAGUAUGGGAGAGGUAGGUGGAAUUCUUGGUGUAGGGGUAAAAUGCGUAGAGAUCAAGAGGAAUACUCAUUGCGAAGGCGACCUGCUAGAACAUAACUGACGCUGAUGCGCGAAAGCGUGGGGAGCAAACAGGAUUAGAUACCCUAGUAGUC
rnacentral:rRNA from 1 species